CCCCACUCCAGAUCUUCCCACUUGUGUCUCAGGUACUGUGGGGAUCAAGAGCAUGUAACUGAGAGCUGGAUACUCAGCUGAGCGAGCUGAAGAGAACUGGAGGAAAAAAUGUACAAAUCAUGAAGGGCUCUGCUGUUGUGAGUCACUGGGAUGACUGUCCAUGGGCAAAUGGCAUGUUUGUGGUUGAGUCUAGAGGUGGAGCCAAGAGUGAACAUCUGUGGAGUCAGGGGUAGAACGAGGCAGAAGGGGU